rnacentral:lncRNA from 1 species
GUACAGCUUAACCUCUGUCCCUUAACCAUUGUAACGCAGGUUCGGAGAAGCAGAAACAACUUGUUAUUGGUGGAGAGGCUUGCCUAUGGGGAGAAUAUGUGGAUGCAACUAACCUUAUUCCAAGACUAUGGUAAGGCAUUCAAGGGGCGCCGAGUGGCCUGAAGGCUGCCUUGGCUUUUAUUAUACAUGUAUGCAGGAGAGCUCUUGAGAAUCUCCUUAUAUAGGUGACAAAAGAAAUCUAAACUGCUUUGGGAGCCACAUAUUUUAAAUUUCAGGCCUCGGGCAAGCGCUGUUGGUGAGAGGCUCUGGAGCCCUAGAAUUAUCACCAACCUGGAAAACGCCUACAGACGACUGGCAGUGCACCGCUGUAGAAUGGUCAGCCGCGGAAUAGCUGCACAACCUCUCUUUACUGGAUAUUGUAACUACGAGAAUAAAAUGGAAAAGUGACAGAAGUCUACAGCACUACAGCUCUAAUCAUGUUGAUUCUGAAAUCAUGUAAAUUAAUAUUUGUUAGGCUAUUUUUUAAAUAAACUAUCUUUUUAUUGAUUGAAUCUUUCUAUAUCUGAAUCAAACACUGAAUACUGACAUCUUUUAUGUGAGCAGCUUAAAAAAAAUAA